GAUGAUUUGGCCGAGUGGUUAAGGCGUUGGAUUUAGGCUCCAAUCCAGAAAUGGGCGUGGGUUCAAAUCCCACAGUCAUCA
rnacentral:tRNA from 2 species